AUUCUGGUGGAUCUGCGGAUGCAUCAGGUGUGGGCUGUUUGAAGAACUAAGUACCCCAUGUUGUUCAGCCUGAGCGCCUGGAAGAAGAGAGCUGCUGUAGAUAGAAAGGAGAAUUGAAAGGAAAGCAGGUUUCCUUCAGGGGAAAGAUCAAGAGUCUGGGAUGUCCCAGGUUGGUCAUGUCACUGGACCUGACGUUGUUGGUGUCCUGGGCUGAGGACAGGGCCUAUAAACUGGACUGAAGAAGGCGAUGAGCAGUCAGGCGUGCGGAGUUACAGCUUGAGGGUUCUUGGGGCUGCACCCCUAUGACGACUGGUGGGGAUCAUCCAGUCCCUCAGGCUGGAUGAGCAGCCUGGAAAUGUCAGGC
rnacentral:lncRNA from 10 species